ensembl:misc_RNA Y_RNA Y RNA
GGUCUGUCCGAGUGCAGUGGUGUUCAGAACUAAUUGAUGACAACCAGUUACAGACUUCUUUGUUUUUUCUCCCUUCCCAUUGUUUCAUUUGACUAGUUAAAA